GCUUACGGCCAUACCACCUUAGGCACGCCCGAUCUCGUCUGAUCUCGGAAGCUAAGCAGGGUCGGGCCUGGUUAGUACUUGGAUGGAUGACCGCCUGGGAAUACCUGGUGCUGUAAGCA
rnacentral:rRNA from 1 species